AGAUAAACAAGAGGCACAAAAAUACUCAAAGUAUAUAUCAUCUUUCUGUAAAAGGUUAUUGGAAGAUACAAAAGAUGAGCUCGUUGAAUUGAUAAAAAGAAGCGUUUUAAGACCGGGACAAAUUGGGAAGGCCCUUUGCCAGGACCUUAGUAGUCAUUGUGAUGAAAGUGAUGACUUUGAUGAUGACUAUAUGGAUGAGGAGCUGUGAUGGGAUUCAACAUCAUAUAUUUAUCUU